GUGCCAGCAGCCGCGGUAAGACGAAGGAUGCAAGCGUUAUCCGGAUUCAUUGGGUUUAAAGGGAGCGUAGGUGGCCUUAUAAGUCAGUGGUGAAAUCUCUGGGCUUAACCCAGAAAUUGCCAUUGAUACUGUAGGGCUUGAGUAUAGAUGCCGUUGGCGGAAUAUGACAUGUAGUGGUGAAAUACAUAGAGAUGUCAUAGAACACCGAUUGCGAAGGCAGCUAACGAAACUAUAACUGACACUGAGGCUCGAAAGUGUGGGGAUCAAACAGGAUUAGAAACCCUCGUAGUCC
rnacentral:rRNA from 1 species